ACAGUAUAUCCAGUGGAUCACCCUUGUCCACAUGCUUAUUGACACCAUCAAAGAAUUCUGAUAGUUUCAUCCAAUUUGCGUUGUACUGAAGCUAGACUUACUGACCUGUAAUUGCCAGACUUGCCCCUGGAGCCUUUUUAUAAAGUUGGCAUUACAUUAGCUAUCCUUCAGUCAUCUGCUACAGAGGGUGAUUUAAAUGGUAGGUUACAUACUACAGUUAAUUGUUCUGCAAUUUCAUAUCUGAGUUCCUUUGGAAUUCAAGUGAAUACCAUUUGGUUCUGGGUAUUUAUUAUUGUUUAAUUUACCAGUUUGCUCCAAAAUCUCCUCUAUUGACACUUCAUUCUGGGACAGUUCCUCAGAUUUGUUACCUAAAAAGAAUGGCUCAUGUGUGAAAAUCUCCCUCACAUCCUCUGCAGUGAAGACCCAUGCAAAGAAUUCGUUUAGCUUCUCUGCAAGGGCCUUGUCUUCCUUGAGUGCUCCUUUAGCACAUUGAUCGUCCAGUGGCCAUAUUGAUUGUUUGGCAGGGUUUCUGCUUCUGGUAUAUUUACAUUUUUUUGCUUGUUUUUCUUUCCUUUCUUUCUUUUUCUUUUUGUCUUUUGCUAGUUUUUCAAAUUUGGUUUUGGGCUGCCUAAUUAUACUUUUACACUUGACUUUCCAGAGUUUAUGCUUCUUUCUAUUUUCCUCUGUAAGAUUUGACUUCCGAUUUUUAAAGGAUCUCUUUUUGCCUCUAACUGCCUCUUUUACUUUGUUUAGUCACAAUGGCAGUGUUUUCGUUGAGCCUCUAUUGUGUUGUUUUUAAAUUGUUUCCAUGCAGCUUGCAGACAUUUUACUCUUGUGACUGUUGCUUUUAAUUUCCAUUUAACUAGGUUCCUCACAUUGUGUAGUUUCCCUUUUUGAAGUUAAAUGCUACUGUGGUGGAUUUCUUUCCUCCGUCCUCCCCCCAGAAAGAUGCUAAAUUUAAUUACAUUAUGGCUGGUUUUACUAAGCAGGUCAGCUCUAUUCACCUCUUGAACCAGAUCCUGUGGGCCACUUAGGACUAAAAAAGCUUUCUUGCUUUUUCAACUCCAAACUGGUUUCUCAAUUUUGAAUGAAAUAGUCCACAUGAAGAAAAUAUUCUCUUUGCACCAGCUGCUAGCAAACUGAAACCAAAAGUAAUUAAGGCAAAAGGUUCUUUGCUCAGCAGAAACUAAAAGUACUUACAUUUGUAAAAAUAUAAAUGCCAGCAUUUGCUCCAUUAUAAAGACUGAAAAUAAUAUAGAUACUUAAUGCAGUACAUAACGUUGUGACGUAUUUAUAAAACUUGAGUUAACUUCAAAUAUGAUUUUCCCCCUGAUUCUAUAUAUAAAUUAAAAAAUCAGCACCCUCCAACUCAUUAAAAUUUGAGGAGGGUUAAUUGACGCAGCAUAUUUUUAUUUAAAUGAUUUGACUAGAAUAUAGUAAAAUUAUGCCUUAACAUAAAUUGUCAUAAUUUCAAUUUAAUUUUAAACAAGUUUAUGUUAAACAAAGAAAAAUGUAUUUAAAUGUAUUUGAUUUUUUUAAAAUCAUCUCUUUUUAUCCACCCUGUUUGUCUCUGUUAUUUCACCCAGAAUGGAAAUGAAAUGCAGCUACUCUUACAUGGAUUGUAGCUGUUGUUGAACACUACAGAGCAACACUAUGUAGUUUCGAAAAGAAAGUGAAGAAAACUACUGUGUUCAAUGGAAACUACAACAUGACUUCAGGACAGGCAGAAUGAAGCACAGUUUCAGGACCCACCGGAGGAAACGACGUUGAAUCAGGCAGGGCUGGUAGAGUGCCCUUGUCGUUCACUAGGCAAUAAUGUGCAUGCUGAAGGAGUCAUACGUUCACAGGAUCUUUGAGUCACACUACAAAACUUUACA